CCUCUCCCUCUCCUCUCUCGAUCUCUCUCUCUCUCUCUCUCUCUUCUACACAGACCCAAACCCAACCCCUCUCGCCCAUCUCCCUCGCGUCUCCUCCAACCUCUUCCUCUUUAGGGUUUUCUCCUCCAACCUUUUCCGCUCCUCUCAACCUCAUAUACGAUGGUCGGAUUGGGAAGGAUCGUUCGCCGAGGCGAUCCCCCAGUUCUCUCUUUCGUGCUACGUGCGGAUUCUUAGGGUUUUGAUGGAGAUCGGAGCUUUUAGGGAUCGAUUUUGUGGAGGGUUUUUUGAGAUCUGGAGGUGUGAUUCGUGUUCCAUGAGGUUUUGGGAGGUGAGAUCUUAGGGUUUUGGAUUUGUCGUUUGUUCCGAUGUCGACGGGAGCUCCGAAGGUGCGGUCCAUUAAUGUCGCGGAAUCGGAGGCGAGGCCGAUCCUCGGACCUGGGGGGAACAAGGCGAGAUCAUCUUCUAUACCUCGGAAGCAUUCCCCGAAGUUGAACAAGGCGGAGGAGAAGAAGUCCUCUUCGUUCUGUAGCUGUGCCUCAACGGGGAGGAUCGGGAGGCCGAGCUUCACGGCCCGGCGGAGGCCGAGCUCCGCUAGGUCGGAUAGUAAAGUCCUGGCUAAGCUGGAGAAAGUUGUUCCCGAUGGUGUGUCUGUGCCUCUGGUGGAGAUCUCGACGGUGAAGAGGAGGUGUUCUUGGGUUACUCCAUAUACUGGACUGAACUGGACCAGCCUUGGAUUUUGAUAAAAUUCGUUUAAAUUUCUUAUAGGAGCUGAGCUUUGGAAGGGGUUGCAAGUGAUCUUGACUUCAUCCUCUAGUAGUUAGAAUCUUGUUUGGACCAAUUUGGAGAAAUUUGCAACACCAAGGUGCAGCCCAGCAGCUGCAGAAAUGCAUCCCAGUGGUGGUCAUUGAACUUGAGAGUGAACUGAUAUAUUUACUUUUGAUCUCGAAGGAAAGCAUCAUACUAAUCCGUAUGUGAGAAUCCUUUUCAGAGGAGAAGAGAGAAAGACCAAGUGCAUUAAGAAAAAAAGAGAUCCACGUUGGGAAGAGGAGUUUCAGUUCAUGUGCAAAGAGCCACCUACUAAUUAAUGAUAAGAUGCAUGUGGAAGUCCUUAGCAGGCCACCUAGUAUUGGCAUACACUCGAAGGUACCUUCAACCUCAGCUUUGAUGGCAUUUAUGUUGGCUUUUGAGAUCGAAACUGUCUGGAGCCUAUGAUUGGCUGGAUAUAGGGACAGCAACUAGCUAAGAUGAGCUUUUCAGACCCUCAAAGUAGCUCUUUUUUUUACUUUUUUGUAAGCUUCUGCUUCUUUUGAAAGUUGAUUUUUAUGAAUGACUGCUAGGAUUUAAUGAAAAACUGUGCACCAACAAAUCAUCAAGUUUCAUUUUUUAUGCUUUGGACUUGUGGCUCGGUGAAUCAUGUGGCUCGUGUUGAUGAAGUUAAUUAGUUCCAUGUCCAGUGCACCGUCCUGCAGAACUUCACUUGUUCUCUGGUCUGUUGCUUGCAAAGAUAUGAUAAUCAUUUUCAGCUUCUGAAUUUGUAGAGCUCCAGAUUGAAAAGAAUGCUGAUUCCACUCAAUCAAGUGUUGAUUUUUUUUUUUCCAAGAAAUUACAGUAUUGUUUGGAGCAUCAAAGAUGAAGUUUAUUUGA